UCCUACGGGGGGCAGCAGUAGGGAAUCCUCCACAAUGGACGAAAGUCUGAUGGAGCAACGCCGCGUGAGUGAAGAAGGGUUUCGGCUCGUAAAGCUCUGUUGGUAGUGAAGAAAGAUAGAGGUAGUAACUGGCCUUUAUUUGACGGUAAUUACUUAGAAAGUCACGGCUAACUACGUGCCAGCAGCCGCGGUAAUACGUAGGUGGCAAGCGUUGUCCGGAUUUAUUGGGCGUAAAGGGAGGGCAGGCGGGUCAAUAAGGUUGAUG
rnacentral:rRNA from 1 species